UGGGGAAUAUUGCACAAUGGGCGGAAGCCUGAUGCAGCGACGCCGCGUGGGGGAUGAAGGCCUUCGGGUUGUAAACUCCUUUCGACAGGGACGAAGCUUUUGUGACGGUACCUGUAUAAGAAGCACCGGCUAACUACGUGCCAGCAGCCGCGGUAAUACGUAGGGUGCGAGCGUUGUCCGGAAUUACUGGGCGUAAAGAGCUCGUAGGUGGUUUGUCGCGCCGUCUGUGAAAUUCCGGGGCUUAACUCCGGGCGUGCAGGCGAUACGGGCUGACUUGAGUGCUGUAGGGGAGACUGGAAUUCCUGGUGUAGCGGUGAAAUGCGCAGAUAUCAGGAGGAACACCGAUGGCGAAGGCAGGUCUCUGGGCAGUAACUGACGCUGAGGAGCGAAAGCAUGGGUAGCGAACAGGAUUAGAUACCCUGGUAGUCCAUGCCGUAAACGGUGGGCGCUAGGUGUAGGGGGCUUCCACGUCUUCUGUGCCGUAGCUAACGCAUUAAGCGCCCCGCCUGGGGAGUACGGCCGCAAGGCUA
rnacentral:rRNA from 1 species